rnacentral:tRNA from 1 species
GCCCCGGUGGCUCAGCGGUAGAGCAACGGCCUCGUAGGUUUGAGCAGAGAAAGCCGUAGGUCGCGGGUUCGAAUCCCGCCCGGGGCU